rnacentral:rRNA from 1 species
GAUGAACGCUGGCGGCGUGCCUAAUACAUGCAAGUCGAGCGAACGGACGAGAAGCUUGCUUCUCUGAUGUUAGCGGCGGACGGGUGAGUAACACGUGGAUAACCUACCUAUAAGACUGGGAUAACUUCGGGAAACCGGAGCUAAUACCGGAUGAUAUUUUGAACCGCAUGGUUCAAAAGUGAAAGACGGUCUUGCUGUCACUUAUAGAUGGAUCCGCGCUGCAUUAGCUAGUUGGUAAGGUAACGGCUUACCAAGGCAACGAUGCAUAGCCGACCUGAGAGGGUGAUCGGCCACACUGGAACUGAGACACGGUCCAGACUCCUACGGGAGGCAGCAGUAGGGAAUCUUCCGCAAUGGGAGAAAGCCUGACGGAGCAACGCCGCGUGAGUGAUGAAGGUCUUCGGAUCGUAAAACUCUGUUAUUAGGGAAGAACAUAUGUGUAAGUAACUGUGCACAACUUGACGGUACCUAAUCAGAAAGCCACGGCUAACUACGUG